rnacentral:rRNA from 1 species
GGACGAAAGUCUGACCCAGCGACGCCGCGUGAGGGAUGAAGGCCUUCGGGUUGUAAACCUCUUUCAGUAGGGAAGAAGCGAAAGUGACGGUACCUAAAGAAGAAGCACCGGCUAACUAUGUGCCAGCAGCCGCGGUAAUACAUAGGGUGCAAGCGUUGUCCGGAAUUAUUGGGCGUAAAGAGCUCGUAGGUGGUUUGUUGCGUCGGGUGUGAAAUUCAGGGGCUCAACCCCUGACCUGCACUCGAUACGGGCAAGCUAGAGUUUGGUAGGGGAGACUGGAAUUCCUGGUGUAGCGGUGGAAUGCGCAGAUAUCAGGAGGAACACCAAUGGCGAAGGCAGGUCUCUGGGCCAAUACUGACACUGAGGAGCGAAAGCGCGGGGAGCGAACAGGAUUAGAUACCCUGGUAGUCCGCGCCGUAAACGAUGGGCGCUAGUUGUGGGGACCUUCCACGGUUUNCGNGANG